rnacentral:rRNA from 1 species
UACAGGGGGUGCAAACGUUGCUCGGAAUCAUUGGGCGUAAAGCGCACGUAGGCGGUUCGUUAUGUCGGAUGUGAAAGCCCUUGGCUUAACCGAGGAAGUGCAUCCGAAACUGGCGAGCUAGAGUACGAAAGAGGAUCGCGGAAUUCCCGGUGUAGAGGUGAAAUGCGUAGAUAUCAGGAGGAACACCUGUGGCGAAAGCGGCUCACUGGACCAUAACUGACGCUGAUGCACGAAAGCUAGGGGAGCAAACAGG